UACGAAGGGGGCUAGCGUUGCUCGGAGUUACUGGGCGUAAAGGGCGCGUAGGCGGAUAUUUAAGUUAGAGGUGAAAGCCCAGGGCUCAACCCUGGAACAGCCUUUAAUACUGGAUAUCUUGAGUUCGGGAGAGGUGAGUGGAACUCCGAGUGUAGAGGUGAAAUUCGUAGAUAUUCGGAAGAACACCAGUGGCGAAGGCGACUCACUGGCCCGAUACUGACGCUGAGGCGCGAAAGCGUGGGGAGCAAACAGG
rnacentral:rRNA from 1 species